GGAGUUAGCCGGUGCUUCUUCUGUGAGUGAUGUCCUUCCUGCCGGCUAUUAACCCGCAGGCCUUCUUCCUCACUGAAAGUGCUUUACAACCCGAAGGCCUUCUUCACACACGCGGCAUGGCUGGAUCAGGGUUGCCCCCAUUGUCCAAUAUUCCCCACUGCUGCCUCCCGUAGGAGUCUGGGCCGUGUCUCAGUCCCAGUGUGGCUGAUCAUCCUCUCAGACCAGCUACGGAUCGUCGCCUUGGUGAGCCGUUACCUCACCAACCAGCUAAUCCGACAUAGGCUCAUCCGAUAGCGCGAGGCCCGAAGGUCCCCCGCUUUCCCCCGUAGGGCGUAUGCGGUAUUAGCCUGGGUUUCCCCAGGUUAUCCACCACUACCGGGCAGAUUCCUAUGCAUUACUCACCCGUCCGCCGCUCGCCACCAGGGAGCAAGCUCCCCGUGCUGCCGCUCGACUUGCAUGUGUUAGGCCUGCCGCCAGCGUUCAAUCUGAGCCAGGAUCAAACUCUGA
rnacentral:rRNA from 1 species